GUCCAGACUCCUACGGGAGGCAGCAGUGGGGAAUAUUGCACAAUGGGGGAAACCCUGAUGCAGCGACGCCGCGUGAGUGAAGAAGUAUUUCGGUAUGUAAAGCUCUAUCAGCAGGAAAGAAAAUGACGGUACCUGACUAAGAAGCCCCGGCUAACUACGUGCCAGCAGCCGCGGUAAUACGUAGGGGGCAAGCGUUAUCCGGAUUUACUGGGUGUAAAGGGAGCGUAGACGGUGAAGCAAGUCUGAAGUGAAAGGCGGGGGCUCAACCCCCGGACUGCUUUGGAAACUGUUUGACUGGAGUGCAGGAGAGGUAAGUGGAAUUCCUAGUGUAGCGGUGAAAUGCGUAGAUAUUAGGAGGAACACCAGUGGCGAAGGCGGCUUACUGGACUGUAACUGACACUGAGGCACGAAAGCGUGGGGAGCAAACAGGAUUAGAUACCCUGGUAU
rnacentral:rRNA from 1 species